UACGGAGGGUGCAAGCGUUAUCCGGAUUUACUGGGUUUAAAGGGUGCGUAGGUGGAUAAGUAAGUCAGUGGUGAAAUCUCCGGGCUUAACCCGGAAACUGCCAUUGAUACUGCAGGGCUUGAGUACAGUUGCCGUUGGCGGAAUAUGACAUGUAGUGGUGAAAUACAUAGAGAUGUCAUAGAACACCAAUUGCGAAGGCAGCUAACUACGGGAACAUUGACACUGAGGCACGAAAGCGUGGGGAUCAAACAGG
rnacentral:rRNA from 1 species